AUACGGAGGAUCCGAGCGUUAUCCGGAUUUAUUGGGUUUAAAGGGUGCGCAGGCGGCCAUUUAAGUCAGCGGUUAAAUCGUGGGGCUCAACCCCAUUCUGCCGUUGAUACUGGGUGGCUUGAUUGCGGUCGAGGUUGGCGGAAUUCGUUGUCUAGCGGUGAAAUGCAUAGAUAUGACGAAGAACACCGAUUGCGUAGGCAGCUGACCAGAUCGCAAAUGACGCUCAUGCACGAAAGUGCGGGGAUCGAACAGGAUUAGAUACCCUGGUAGUCCGCACAGUAAACGAUGAAUACUUGUUUUCGGCGAUAUAAUGUCGGAGGCAAAGCGAAAGCGAUAAGUAUUCCACCUGGGGAGUACGCCGGCAACGGUGAAACUCAAAGGAAUUGACGGGG
rnacentral:rRNA from 1 species